rnacentral:rRNA from 1 species
AUUGAACGCUGGCGGCAUGCUUUACACAUGCAAGUCGAACGGUAACAGGCCUUCGGGUGCUGACGAGUGGCGAACGGGUGAGUAAUGCAUCGGAACGUGCCCAGAGGUGGGGGAUAACGCAGCGAAAGCUGUGCUAAUACCGCAUGUGAUCUGAGGAUGAAAGCGGGGGACCAGGCAGCAAUGUUUGGCCUCGCGCCUUUGGAGCGGCCGAUGUCAGAUUAGGUAGUUGGUGGGGUAAAGGCCUACCAAGCCGACGAUCUGUAGCUGGUCUGAGAGGAGGACCAGCCAAACGGGGAGUGAGACACGGCCCAGACUCCGACGGGAGGCAGCAGUGGGGAAUUUUGGACAAUGGGGGAAAGCCUGAUCCAGCAAUGCCGCGUGCGGGAAGAAGGCCUUCGGGUUGUAAACCGCUUUUGUACGGAACGAAAAGGAUCUGGCUAAUACCUGGGGCUGAUGACGGUACCGGAAGAAUAAGCACCGGCUAACUACGUG